GACAGAGGGUGCAAACGUUGUUCGGAUUUACUGGGCGUAAAGCGCGUGUAGGCGGCUUGGCAAGUCGGAUGUGAAAGCCCACGGCUCAACCGUGGAAGCGCAUCCGAAACUGCUUCGCUCGAGUCUCGGAGAGGAAGGGUGGAAUGCUUGGUGUAGAGGUGAAAUUCGUAGAUAUCAAGCAGAACACCUGCGGCGAAGGCGGCCUUCUGGACGAUGACUGACGCUGAGACGCGAAAGCGUGGGGAGCAAACAGG
rnacentral:rRNA from 1 species